CUCUAGGUAGGACAGAUACCUGGGAACCUGUGGCUGGUCUGAGUAAGCAGUUGCAGAUUCUGGAGUGCAAUUCUGCAGUAAAGGGUUUCCACUCCCCCAGCCAUGGAAUUGCAGAACCUGCAGGACUCUGGUCAAGCAAUAGCAGUUAUCACAAAGCCCAGGUCUCCGUGGACAGUUCCAAAAACCACUUUAUCUGACUGUCCAUCCUCACGAAAGCAAGGCCAAUGAUUGAAUGAGCAGGGAGCUAAAUAAUCCUCUUAUCCUAACAAGUGCCCCCUCCAUUUGUUCUGAAGCAGGCUUCAUUAAGUACACGAGAGUCAGGCUUUCGGGAUCCACAUGACCACAACAGCAGAACAAAAUGCAACGGAAUAAAGAAAAAGGCCUCCGAGCUGCCUUACACCUCGGCAGGACACAGCCAGCUCAGGGGAGCGACGCACCGCAAGCCUGCCCUCGGAAAGAGAGCCCUGUCUAGGUCUGGCUGAGCGAGCACGUUGCCGAAACUCGACCCCUCGUCCCAGCCAAGCCCCAGGCCGCAAGCAGCGCGUGGUCGGCCCUGGCAGCUCCGCGGGGGAGGGCGGCGCCGUCAGCUGUCACGGAGAACGGGCGCC